rnacentral:lncRNA from 1 species
AGUGAUGUAAGCACGACCAACAACACCAAAAAUGAUGAGCUAGCAUUGCCUCAAGGACCAAUUACAAGGCUGAGAUCCAAGAGGUUGAAGGAAGCACUUCAAGGAUUCAUGAAGGAAUAUGUUGAAGCUUUGCAAGUUCAUUUUGAAGUUGAAGAACAAUCUGGCCAUUCCAAAUCAAUUAGGCCAAAUGUGUCCUUAUUGACAAUUCAAAUUCUGUAUUUAUAGUGGGUAGUCAUUUAGUAGUUGGUAGUUAACCAGUAGUGGGUAGUUAUUUGGUAGUGGGUAGUUAAACAGUAGUGGGUGGUUACCUAGUAGUGGAUAGUGGCAUAGAUCAUGGGUCCAUGCAGAGUUGUGGGUAGUGGCAAAGAUCAUGGGUCCAUGUAUAGUAGUGGGAAGUGGCAAA